rnacentral:rRNA from 1 species
UACGAAGGGGGCUAGCGUUGUUCGGAAUUACUGGGCGUAAAGCGCACGUAGGCGGAUACUUAAGUCAGGGGUGAAAUCCCGGGGCUCAACCCCGGAACUGCCUUUGAUACUGGGUAUCUCGAGUCCGGAAGAGGUGAGUGGAAUUCCGAGUGUAGAGGUGAAAUUCGUAGAUAUUCGGAAGAACACCAGUGGCGAAGGCGACACACUGGCUCACUACUGACGCUGAGGCGCGAAAGCGUGGGGAGCAAACAGG